AAACACGGACCAAGGAGUCUAACAUGCCUGCGAGUCUUCGGGGCCUCACGAACCCCAUGAAGGCGAAAUGAAAGUGAAGGUGGCUCUGCUGCCGAGGCAGGAUCCCGGAGGUUUGAUCUCCGGGCGCACUGCCGGCCCGUCCUCAGGUCGCUCGCCGACCGGGCGGAGCUAGAGCAGGUCUGUUGGUACCCGAAAGAUGGUGAACUAUGCCUGGGCAGGACGAGGCCAGAGGAAACUCUGGUGGAAGUCCGUAGCGAUUCUGACGUGCAAAUCGAUCGUCGGACCUGGGUAUAGGGGCGAAAGACUAAUCGAACCAUCUAGUAGCUGG
rnacentral:rRNA from 1 species